UCUAAAAUGACAGAUAGAUGUAUAGGAUUUAAGCUCCUACUAGGAAGAAACACUUCUUCUUUUAGAA
rnacentral:tRNA from 2 species